UCUGGCACCUUCGGUGUCCGAGUUGUAAUCUCUAGAAAUGUUUUCCGCGUUGGACCGCACACAAGUCUGUUGGAAUACAGCGGCAUAGUGGUGAGACCCCCGUAUAUGGUGCGGACGCCCAGCGCUUUGUGAUACAUUUUCGAAGAGUCGAGUUGUUUGGGAAUGCAGCUCAAAUUGGGUGGUAAAUUCCAUCUAAAGCUAAAUAUUGGCGAGAGACCGAUAGCGAACAAGUACCGUGAGGGAAAGAUGAAAAGCACUUUGGAAAGAGAGUUAACAGUACGUGAAAUUGUUGGAAGGGAAACGCUUGAAGUCAGACUUGCUUGCCGAGCAAUCGGUUUGCAGGCCAGCAUCAGUUUUCCGGGAUGGAUAAUGGUAGAGAGAAGGUAGCAGUUUCGGCUGUGUUAUAGCUCUCUGCUGGAUACAUCUUGGGGGACUGAGGAACGCAGUGUGCCUUUGGCGGGGGUUUCGACCUCUUCACACUUAGGAUGCUGGUGGAAUGG
rnacentral:rRNA from 1 species